CGUUCGGAAGGGAUAAACGCUGAAAGCAUCUAAGCGUGAAGCCUGCCUUAAGAUGAGGUUUCUCACAGCACAAGCUGGUAAGGCACCUUGAAGACGACAAGGUUGAUAGGUUGGGAGUGGAAGUCCCGUGAGGGAUGAAGCGGACCAAUACUAAUAUGCCGAGGGCUUGACUUA
rfam:Schwartzia succinivorans DSM 10502 genome assembly, contig: EJ98DRAFT_scaffold00003.3